AACGAACGCUGGCGGCAGGCCUAACACAUGCAAGUCGAGCGCGCCCUUCGGGGUGAGCGGCGGACGGGUGAGUAACGCGUGGGAACGUGCCCUUUGCUACGGAAUAGUCUCGGGAAACUGGGGGUAAUACCGUACGAGCCCUUCGGGGGAAAGAUUUAUCGGCAAAGGAUCGGCCCGCGUUGGAUUAGGUAGUUGGUGGGGUAAUGGCUCACCAAGCCGACGAUCCAUAGCUGGUUUGAGAGGAUGAUCAGCCACACUGGGACUGAGACACGGCCCAGAUUCCUACGGGAGGCAGCAGUGGGGAAUCUUAGACAAUGGGCGCAAGCCUGAUCUAGCCAUGCCGCGUGAGCGAUGAAGGCCUUAGGGUUGUAAAGCUCUUUCGUGGGGGAAGAUAAUGACUGUACCCCAAGAAGAAGCCCCGGCUAACUCCGUGCCAGCAGCCGCGGUAAGUAUCGUACG
rnacentral:rRNA from 1 species